UUAAGUCAGCGGUAAAAUUGCGGGGCUCAACCUCGUCGAGCCGUUGAAACUGGGUGCCUUGAGUGGGCGAGAAGUACGCGGAAUGCGUGGUGUAGCGGUGAAAUGCAUAGAUAUCACGCAGAACUCCGAUUGCGAAGGCAGCGUACCGGCGCCCAACUGACGCUGAAGCACGAAGGCGUGGGUAUCGAACAGGAUUAGAUACCCUGGUAGUCCACGCAGUAAACGAUGAAUGCUAGUUGUCCGGGGCGAUUGAGUUCUGGGUGACACAGCGAAAGCGUUAAGCAUUCCACCUGGGGAGUACGCCGGCAACGGUGAAACUCAAAGGAAUUGACGGGGGCCCGCACAAGCGGAGGAACAUGUGGUUUAAUUCGAUGAUACGCGAGGAACCUUACCCGGGCUCAAACGCAGGAGGGAUGUUUUUGAAAGGAGGCAGCCAGCAAUGGUCUCCUGCGAGGUGCUGCAUGGUUGUCGUCAGCUCGUGCCGUGAGGUGUCGGCUUAAGUGCCAUAACGAGCGCAACCCCUACCUACAGUUGCCAUCGCGUGAUGGCGGGCACUCUGUGGGGACUGCCUGCGCAAGCAGUGAGGAAGGCGGGGAUGACGUCAAAUCAGCACGGCCCUUACGUCCGGGGCGACACACGUGUUACAAUGGCAGGUACAGCGGGAAGCCACCCGGCGACGGGGCGCGGAACCCGAAAACCUGUCUCAGUUCGGAUUGGAGUCUGCAACCCGACUCCAUGAAGCUGGAUUCGCUAGUAAUCGCGCAUCAGCCACGGCGCGGUGAAUACGUUCCCGGGCCUUGUACACACCGCCCGUCAAGCCAUGGAAGCCGGGGGUGCCUGAAGUGCGUGACCGCAAGGAGCGCCCUAGGGUAAAACCGGUGACUGGGGCUAAGUCGUAACAAGGUAACCGUAA
rnacentral:rRNA from 1 species